UACGUAGGCAGCGAGCGUUGUUCGGAGUUACUGGGCGUAAAGGGUGUGUAGGCGGUUGUUUAAGUUUGGUGUGAAAUCUCCCGGCUCAACUGGGAGGGUGCGCCGAAUACUGAAUGACUUGGAGUGCGGGAGAGGUGAGUGGAAUUCCUGGUGUAGCGGUGAAAUGCGUAGAUAUGUGGAGGAAUACCGAUGGCGAAGGCAGCCUCCUGGGCCAACACUGACGCUCAUGCACGAAAGCGUGGGGAGCAAACAGG
rnacentral:rRNA from 1 species